GGGGAGGUUGUCUUUCUGGAGAUUUCUUCUUUUGGAGUUUUUUUACUGGAGAAGAACUCUACCAGUCUGGAAUUACUAUCUGUGGUUGAAUUUCUCUGUUAACCGUCCUUCUGUAUGGGAGCAGAUGUAAGAUAGUUAAUGUAUGAAUAAACAUCCCAAUGAAGAAAAUACUAAAUUGAAAGAGGUUUUUCCCUGCUGAACAGUCUGAAUUACAUACAACAGUAAACAACAGUAAGAUGCUUACAAAAGAAGUAGAUGCAAGUAUUGUUCUUUUAAACUCCGCUACGUAUAUAAGAUGUGAAUCAACUCUGCAGGGUGAACAUAAACAGCACUGGCAAAUAUCGACAUGGGAUUUUAAAGGACCACUUGGAACAUGAAAUAAGUAUUCACUGUAUGUCCUACUGAAGAAAGAAAAGCAUGAUUCAAAUCAGUUAAGCAGACACUAAGUAAAGCCUAGACCAUUUGCAUUCUUCAAGACGACAGCAGUAAAGACAACUUGUCACUGUGUUGGUAUCAGUUUACAUUGAGUUGAGUGAUCCAGACCAGUACUUCCAUGCCUUUGCUCUCUAAUGUCCAUUAGGAAGGACAAGAGAUACUGAUAUUGCUUCACUACUCACUCAGAGAAAGUGACUUCAAUGUUUUUAAAUUCAGACUGCAUUUUGUUGAAGGAAAAAUUUUAUUUUCCUGCAUUUUAUGUAGGCUGUUUGCACAGUUUUAAUUGAUGUAAGAAUAUUAGAGUUCUAUUUUUAUGGCUACUCAGAAUGCUGAAUUCCCUCUGAAUACAAAUUGCAACAAUUUACAUGUAGCCUUUAGUAUCAGUUGGCCAUAUUCAUCUUAUAAUUAUAAUAUGUUUGUAGACUCAGGCUUUCUGGAUUAACGCACUCUACCAGAAGACUGAGUUUAACUGUAUGCUUUUUACUAUGAUCUUGGAUCACAGGAGGAUUAUCCCCUUUAUGAAUCUCAGUAAGACUUUUGCUAUUGGAAAGAGGUUGUUGUUUCCCUUCCAUAGGAGAAUCAACUUGUUGACUGAUAAAAUAGCCAAGGAAGGCACUAAUUCUUUUUAGCAUCUUUUGUAAUUCAGCACUUUACAUAGCCGAAGGGACUAUUGUGAGUAGGAGGAGAACUCAGAGUUGCCAUAAUACUAUUAUUAUUAUUAUUUACAACAAAUGUGUCUAAAAAUAGAUAUUUUGGGUCUCUUUUUUUUUCCUCAUAGCAUCAUUCAAGUGCAUUCCUUGAAGUGAAAGUAGCAUUGUACUUGGUACAAAAAUGUGUCCCAGGUUCUGUACCAUUUUAUUAACAUCAAGUGACCGUUAUCCCUAGAAGUAUUAAAGUCCAUCAAAGAAUGAGUAAAAAUGAUGCAGCAGCACCAGAAUCUGAUUCCAAUCUUGAUGGGAGACUUAUAAUAUGCAGUGACCUACAGGAACAUGUGUAGUCACUUUGCCACCGGAGGUGUGUUUGGAAGGGAGACUUAGGAUUUCUUUACUUGGAGUCUCCUUUGGUUUGUUUUGUAAGCACUUUCGAGAAUGCCUAGCAACUUCAUUUGAUUCACUAAUGGAUGCUGCUCUUCAUGGUAUUGUUCUGAUUUGGAGGUUCAUGAUUCUGUUGUUGUUUUUUUUCUGUAAAAGGCAGAAUUACAUUGCAAACGUAAAAAGAUAAUGUAGCUUUGUUCUCUCAAUUCAUAUUCAAAACUCAUUUUUUAAAUAUGAAAUAGAAGUAAAUUUGAGGGCUAAAUUUAAACCAUUUCCUGAAGUUUUACUUCUGAAGUUUUUUAUUUUUAACCCAUUUACUAAAAAGCAGAGGAGGAAUAGGAAUUUGAUAUCUUUCUUUUUUUUU